rnacentral:rRNA from 1 species
UAUUGGUCAAUGGGGGCAACCCUGAACCAGCCAUGCCGCGUGCAGGAUGACUGCCCUAUGGGUUGUAAACUGCUUUUGUCGGGGAAUAAACCCCACUACGUGUAGUGGGCUGAAUGUACCCGAAGAAUAAGGAUCGGCUCACUCCGUGCCAGCAGCCGCGGUAAUACGGAGGAUCCGAGCGUUAUCCGGAUUUAUUGGGUUUAAAGGGUGCGUAGGCGGCACUUUAAGUCAGGGGUGAAAGACGGCAGCUCAACUGUCGCAGUGCCCUUGAUACUGAAGUGCUUGAAUGCGGUUGAAGACGGCGGAAUGAGACAAAUAGCGGUGAAAUGCAUAGAUAUGUCUCAGAACACCGAUUGCGAAGGCAGCUGUCUAAGCCGUUAUUGACGCUGAUGCACGAAAGCGUGGGGAUCGAACAGG